rnacentral:snRNA from 1 species
AGGUUUGAGGGCAAUCUGGCUGUGACCUCUGUCACCCCAUUGAUCACCAGGGUUGAUUCCGCUGAUCUGGCUGGCUAGGGGGGUCCCCUUCCUCCCUCACCGCUCCAUGUGCGUCCCUCCCCUGUGUGCUAGGUCGAAGAGGACAGACUUCCCCAAAUAGAGAUGGACUGGUCUUUGGUCAAGGGUAUAUGAGUCGCUGCGCUCCCCUGCUAGAACCUCCAAACAAGCUUUCAAGAAAGUUGUAAUAUAUAAUAUAUGUAUAUAUGUAUAUUCUUCCAAGAGAGAAGCCAGGAAAGAUAAACAAAGAAAAAAGACAGAGAGAGAAAGAAAGUUGUAAUUU